rnacentral:sRNA from 1 species
UAAGGUUCGAUUCGAGCGCAGCGAGAAAGCGUUGCCGCAGGCAACGACCCGAAGGGCGAAGCGAGAAAGCGUUGCCGCAGGCAACGACCCGAAGGGCGAAGCGCGCAGCGCUGAGUCAUCCUUCCCCCACCACCA